ACCUGAGCUGUGUGGUAGCAGUAGCACCCCGUUUCACAUUGUAAUAUCUCUGAGCAGCAUAUGCAGCAUAAGCAUGGUUGCUUGGAAUACUUCUGUGAUCACUGGUGAAGUGAUUGGAUGAAGCCUAUGUUUUCCCUGGGGAACUGUACCUGGUGAUGAGUGUAUCACAUGUGCAGCCUGAGAAUUUCUAAUGGAUGUUUCUGUAGAUUCUGACAAAAGGAGCAAGUCCUACGCUGCAAAUUCCAGAAUAAAGUAAAAUGCUUGCCAACUGAUAUUUAAAUGCUGUGGAUAAGUUUCUGACUCUCAAAAUCAAAAUUCCCAUUAACUGCUGUGGGGUAGGAAAGAUGUUGAUCUGUAAGUAUCCCCUUUCUCUUCAUGUGCACUGCCCUCCUUAUUCUAUCACAUUCUUCAUUCCGUUUUCAUUUCUUUUUGGACACUUCAUCUCGUUUCCUCCCCUCUGUAGAUCCAUUUAUAUCAAUGAAUAAGAAUUUUGUUUGGUUCACAAACUCAGCUUUGCUCUUUAUACAUGCUUUUCUCAACAUUAUCACUGUUGUAUGUAUAAGGAAGAAAAAGAUGGAGAUAAAGUAGAUUGUGGAAGGGAAGAGGAAACAACACUGUGAAGUAUUUCUCCCUCUCUUUGCUAUUUGAAUCAUGCUGUCAUCUGGCUGCAGGGUCAUCAGGGCAUUAUGGGCAGGACAUCAGGGCAUUUUCUUCAUACAGAGCAAAGCAUUUCUUCAGAGAAACAGCAUAUGUAAUAUUACAAGUACACAUGGAAAAAAGAACCUUCUUUCAACGUAUUGUUUUGGUACUAUCAAAUAUAUCAAAUAUAUCAAUAGGUAGUUGUUUUUGCUUGUUUGUUUGUUUGUUUUAAGUAGCAAAGUAUAAUAAAUUGUUAUUACCUGAUAUUAUAUUUGAGUAACUUACAACAGUGGAAGCUUAGAUUCUCAGACUGAGAA